UUUGACAUGUACGGAAUCCCGCAGAGAUGUGGGAGUGCUCGAAAGAGAGCCGUAACACAGGUGCUGCAUGGCUGUCGUCAGCUCGUGUCGUGAGAUGUUGGGUUAAGUCCCGCAACGAGCGCAACCCUUGUCAUUAGUUGCUACAUUUAGUUGGGCACUCUAAUGAGACUGCCGGUGACAAACCGGAGGAAGGUGGGGAUGACGUCAAGUCCUCAUGGCCCUUAUAGGUGG
rnacentral:rRNA from 1 species